rnacentral:rRNA from 1 species
UGAGGAACAUGUCCUUCGGCGGGGGAGUAGCCGGGCCCAACGGCCGGGUAAUACCGCGUACGACCACAUGGGGACAUCCCUGAGUGGUGAAAGCAGCAAUGCGCCGAUGGAGUGCCUCGCGGCCUAUCAGCUAGUUGGUGAGGUAACGGCUCACCAAGGCGACGACGGGUAGCUGGUCUGAGAGGAUGGCCAGCCACAGUUGGGACUGAGACACCGGCCCAGACCUGUACCGGGGAG